ACCGAUCACUCUCCUAAGUUCAUCUUGUCAAAAAUGAUGAGUUCUGCUCUGUUUCUGUUCUGCUAAUGCUCUGGAUUCAGGAAACCAGCGGUGAUGUUGUGAUGACCCAGAGUCCACUGUCUUUGUCAGUUACCAUUGGACAACCAGCCUCCAUCUCUUGCAAGUCAAGUCAGAGCCUCUUAGAUAGUGAUGGAAAAACCUAUUUGAAUUGGUUAUUACAGAGGCCAGGCCAGUCUCCUAAGCGCCUAAUCUAUCAGGUGUCCAAAUUGGAUGCUGGGGUCUCUAACAGGUUCAGUGCAGUGGAUCAGAGACAGAUUUUACACUUAAAAUCAGCAGAGUAGAGCCUGAGGAUUUGGGAGUUUAUUACUGCUUGCAAGGUACAUAUCUUCCUCACAC